rnacentral:siRNA from 1 species
UAGUCAUAUGCUUGUCUCAAAGA